AUUAAUGUGCCUGAAUAAAAGGGUUAAUUUGAUAGAUUAAAUAAUGAAAAAUUUUA
rnacentral:tRNA from 1 species